CCCCCCCUCUCUCUUUCUCUCUCUGUCUCUCUCUCUACAGUAAGGUUGGCCUGUCAGUCAGAUUAAUUGACUCUGCUGGAUGGGGAGCCAUACCCCCCCUCUCUCUGCCUCUCUCUCUCUGCCUCUCUCUCUCUGCCUCUCUCAAUUCAAUUCAUGGUGCUUUAUUGUCAUGGGAAACAUGUGUUAACAUUGCCAAAGCAAGUGAAGGAGAUAAUAUACAAAAGUGAAAUAAACAAUUAAAAUGUACAGUAAACAUUAAACUCACAGAAGGUCCAAAAUAAUAAUGAUAUUUCAAAUGUCAUAUUAUAUCUAUAUACAGUGUUGUAACAAUGUGCAAAUGGUUAAAGUACAAAAGGGAAAAUAAAUAAACAUAAAUAUGGGUUGUAUUGACAAUGGUGUUCGUUCUUUUCUUGUGGCAACAGGUCACAAAUCUUGCUGCUGUGAUGGCACAUGGUGGUAUUUCACCCAAUAGAUAGAUAGAUAGAUAGAUAGAUAGAUAGAUAGAUAGAUACAUAGAUAGAUAGAUAGAUAGAUAGAUAGAUAGAUAGAUAGAUAGAUAGAUAGAUAGAUAGAUAGAUAGAUAGAUAGAUAGAUAGAUAGAUAGGGAGUUUAUCAAAAUUGGGUUUGUUUUCGAAUUCUUUGUGGGUCUGUGUAAUCUGAGGGAAAUAUGUGUCUCUAAUAUGGUCAAACAUUGGCAGGAGGUUAGGAAGUGCAGCUCAGUUUCCACCAAAUGUUGUUUUCUCGUGAUUUGGUUGGUUUGUGUUUGUGGGGUCUGUUUGUGAACAGAGUCUCUCUACCCACCUAACAACUCCCCCAUCUCUCUCUCUCUCUCUCUGUCUCUCUCUACAGUAAGGUUGGCCUGUCAGUCAGAGGAAGUGACCCUGCUGGCUGGGGAGCCAUACCUUCCUUCUGCAGAUUAUCUUUUCGUUUUAUUAAAUGAAAAAACAGUUCUGCGUCUCUCCGCAGCUCUUGAACAAAAUGGCUCAGAGAAAAAGGGCAUUGAAGCUGAGCUUCGUUGUUUUAGCUUGUAAGGUGUUAUCAGUUUUCUCUUUCAUACAUCUAUAAAAUAGUUGUUUUCAGAAAGUAUCUGUCAUUGCUCAAGGGAGCAGCUAUACUAUCUUACAUUAUAGUAGACACUUUAAUCGAGAGCAACUUAAAGUAUCAACUAGGAUUAAAUGCUUUGCUCAAGGGCACAUCGGCACAUUUUUCACCUAGUUGGCUUGGGGAUUUGAAGCAGCAACCUUUCGGUUCAUUGCCCGACAAUCGUAACCGCUAGUCAACCUGACGCUACUGCUCCUCUGUUCAUCAUAUAUGCAUCGUCACUUUAACCAUAUCUACAUGUAUGUGCAUUUUUUGCACUAUUGGUUAUAGUCUGUAAGUAAACAUUUCACUGUUGUAUUCGGCGCACGUGACAAAUACACUUUGAUUUGAUUUGACACCCUAUCUAGUUUGGGAAUGUUUAUGCAGCAACUCCAUCUUCAUGUAAUAAGCUUUUCACAACCUGUUCCCCUGUCGGCCUGUUUUCCUACCUGACGAGCCCUAUUUCCUGUUCCAUACAUAUCAUUUAUCUCCCCAUCUCCUCUCUUUCUAAACUGUCUUUAGCCUUGGUUGAUGUUCUCUCUACCCAACUCAUAGCUCCCCAUCCCCCCUGUCUCUUUCUCUACUCACCCCAUCUCUACUCUCCAGAGCUCUCACCUCCCUGCCUCUCUCUCCCAGGGGUGGCUGAGCUGUCAGAUGGAAGCAAUAGUUCUACUGAUACUUAUUAAGUCAAUGACUGUCGGAGGAAAAGUACUGUCUGCUUCCAGAGAGAGGAGAGCAGGAAACAAUCAAACGUACCCCCCUCCCUGUAACGACAGAGAGACAGACAGAGACAGACAGAGACGAGGAAGGGCACCAACCGUCACAGUGUGCAGAGAUUUAUCCAGGAUCCAUCUUAACUACGUGUUCCCUCAAUACAUUAUCUUCAUGGACCAUUUAGAUUCAGAUCUGAGUCAAUCCAGGGUUAUUCAGGGUAGUUGGAGUGGUGUAAGAAGGGUUAUUCAGGGUAGUUGGAGUGGUGUAAGAAGGUUUAUUCAGGGUAGUUGGAGUGGUGUAAGAAGGGUUAUUCAGGGUAGUUGGAGUGGUGUAAGAAGGGUUAUUCAGGGUAGUUGGAGUGGUGUAAGAAGGGUUAUUCAGGGUAGUUGGAGUGGUGUAAGAAGGGUUAUUCAGGGUAGUUGGAGUGGUGUAAGAAGGGUUAUUCAGGGUAGUUGGAGUGGUGUAAGAAGGGUUAUUCAGGGUAGUUGGAGUGGUGUAAGAAGGGUUAUUCAGGGUAGUUGGAGUGGUGUAAGAAGGGUUAUUCGGGGUAGUUGGAGUGGUGUAAGAAGGGUUAUUCAGGGUAGUUGGAGUGGUGUAAGAAGGGUUAUUCAUGGUAGUUGGUCUUACUCACACACACCCCCGUUACCGUAACCACACCCCAAUUGCAGUAAACACACCCUAAUUACAGUAAACACACCCCAGUAACAGUAGACACAUCCCAAUUAGAGUAGACACA